rnacentral:rRNA from 1 species
CAAAAACAUAGCCCUAGAUAAUUUCUGAGGUGUAACCUGCCCAGUGAUCUUAAAUUAUUAGUAUAAAAGACUAAAAAUGGGAUUAAAAGGACGCGGUAACCUUGACCGUGAUAAUGUAGCAUAAUCACUCGCCAUUUAAUUGGUGGAUAGUAUGAAUGGUUGAACGAAUAUUCCACUGUCUUAAAGAGAAUUAAAAGAAAUUGAAAUAAUAGUUAAGAUGCUAUUUAAAACUGUAAGACGAAAAGACCCUAUAGAGCUUAACUAUAAUCUCUUUACAAAACAGAAAAAUAAGUUUAAAAAAUAAAGAGACUGGUAGUUUAGUUGGGGCGACUGUCUUCUAAAUAAAACGAAGACAAGCAAUGUUAAUAAAUAACUUAUUGUAUAAUAUAAUAAUUUAACAAUUAUAAUCAUAGGCUAUAGUGACCCGUUGAUUCUGAAGAAAUAGAUUAACGAUCAAUUAAUAAAAGCUACCUUAGGGAUAACAGGAUAAUUUCAUUUUAGAGUCCCCAUCGAAAAUGAAGUUUGUCACCUC